GACGAACGCUGGCGGCGUGCUUAACACAUGCAAGUCGAACGGAAAGGCCCUGCUUGCCGGGUACUCGAGUGGCGAACGGGUGAGUAACACGUGGGUGAUCUGCCCUUCACUUCGGGAUAAGCCUGGGAAACUGGGUCUAAUACCGGAUAGGAGCCAUUUUUAGUGUGAUGGUUGGAAAGUUUUUCCGGUGUAGGAUGAGCUCGCGGCCUAUCAGCUUGUUGGUGGGGUAAUGGCCUACCAAGGCGGCGACGGGUAGCCGGCCUGAGAGGGUGGACGGCCACAUUGGGACUGAGAUACGGCCCAGACUCCUACGGGAGGCAGCAGUGGGGAAUAUUGCACAAUGGGCGCAAGCCUGAUGCAGCGACGCCGCGUGGGGGAUGACGGCCUUCGGGUUGUAAACUCCUUUCGCUAGGGACGAAGCUUUUUGUGACGGUACCUAGAUAAGAAGCACCGGCUAACUACGUG
rnacentral:rRNA from 1 species